UAAUACGUAGGUGGCAAGCGUUGUCCGGAUUUAUUGGGUUUAAAGGGUGCGUAGGCGGCUUUGUAAGUCAGUGGUGAAAUAUGGCAGCUCAACUGUCAGGGUGCCAUUGAUACUGCGGAGCUUGAGUACAGAUGAGGUAGGCGGAAUUGACGGUGUAGCGGUGAAAUGCUUAGAUAUCGUCAAGAACACCGAUAGCGAAGGCAGCUUACUAGGCUGUAACUGACGCUGAGGCACGAAAGUGUGGGGAUCAAACAGGAUUAGAUACCCUGGUAGUCCACACUGUAAACGUUGAUGACUCGCUGUUGGCGAUACACGGCCAGCGGCAGAGAGAAAUCGUUAAGUCAUCCACCUGGGGAGUACGCCGGCAACGGUG
rnacentral:rRNA from 1 species